UGGGGAAUAUUGCACAAUGGGCGAAAGCCUGAUGCAGCAACGCCGCGUGAGCGAUGAAGGUCUUCGGAUCGUAAAGCUCUGUCCUUGGGGAAGAUAAUGACGGUACCCUUGGAGGAAGCCCCGGCUAACUACGUGCCAGCAGCCGCGGUAAUACGUAGGGGGCAAGCGUUAUCCGGAAUUAUUGGGCGUAAAGAGUGCGUAGGUGGUUACCUAAGCAGGGGGUGAAAGGCUAUGGCUUAACCAUAGUUAGCCCCCUGAACUGGGCUACUUGAGUGCAGGAGAGGAAAGCGGAAUUCCUAGUGUAGCGGUGAAAUGCGUAGAUAUAGGAGGAACACCAGUGGC
rnacentral:rRNA from 1 species